rnacentral:rRNA from 1 species
GACGAACGCUGGCGGCGUGCCUAAUACAUGCAAGUGGGACGCAAGGAAACACACUGUGCUUGCACACCGUGUUUUCUUGAGUCGCGAACGGGUGAGUAACGCGUAGGUAACCUGCCUAUUAGCGGGGGAUAACUAUUGGAAACGAUAGCUAAUACCGCAUAAUAUUAAUUAUUGCAUGAUAAUUGAUUGAAAGAUGCAAGCGCAUCACUAGUAGAUGGACCUGCGUUGUAUUAGCUAGUUGGUAAGGUAAGAGCUUACCAAGGCGACGAUACAUAGCCGACCUGAGAGGGUGAUCGGCCAUACUGGGACUGAGACACGGCCCAGACUCCUACGGGAGGCAGCAGUGGGGAAUCUUCGGCAAUGGACGAAAGUCUGACCGAGCAACGCCGCGUGAGUGAAGAAGGUUUUCGGAUCGUAAAGCUCUGUUGUAAGUCAAGAACGUGUGUGAGAGUGGAAAGUUCACACAGUGACGGUAGCUUACCAGAAAGGGACGGCUAACUACGUG